rnacentral:tRNA from 1 species
CGGGGCGUGGCGCAGUUUGGCUAGCGCGCUACCUUGGGGUGGUAGAGGUCGCAAGUUCGAAUCUUGUCGCCCCGACCA